AGAAUGAACGCUGGCGGCGUGCUUAACACAUGCAAGUCGAACGAGGCGGAGGGGGCAACCCUCCAGUCGAGUGGCGGACGGGUGAGUAACACGUGGGUAACCUGCCCGGAAGUGGGGAACACCUCGGGGAAACUCGAGCUAAUACCGCAUGACAUCUUCGGGACGAAAGUCCUGACGAUCAAAGCGGGGCCGCAAGGCCUCGCGCUUCCGGAUGGGCCCGCGCCCGAUUAGCUAGUUGGCGAGGUAACGGCUCACCAAGGCUUCGAUCGGUAACCGGCCUGAGACGGGGCGAGUCCGGUACGACGACCCGGAAACUUGGAGACACGGUCCCGGACUCCGUACGGGAGGCAGCCAGUGGGGAAUCGUAGCGCGAAUGGGCGAAAGCCUGACGCAGCAACGCGCGUGAGAUGAAGGCCCUUGGUGUAACGUCCUGUCGGCUGGAAGAAAGUCGUUACGGGCGAAGUACCCCGGAGUUACGACUGUACCGAGACGAAAGGAACGCCCCGGAUAAACCGUCGUACGUCGACCGAACGG
rnacentral:rRNA from 1 species